rnacentral:rRNA from 1 species
AGCCUGAACGCUGGCGGCGUGGCUAAGACAUGCAAGUCGUACGGGCGUAGCAAUACGUCAGUGGCGAACGGGUGAGUAAUGUAUCGCUAACGUACCCCUAUGUCCGGGAUAGCUGAGGGAAACUUCAGGUAAUACCGGGUGACAUUCUUUUUUCGCAUGAAGAGAGACUCAAAGGGAAACCGCAAAGGGAGCGGGCGAUAUCGUAUCAGCUAGUUGGUGAGGUAACGGCUCACCAAGGCAAUGACGCGUAGCCGGACUGAGAGGUCGGUCGGCCACAUUGGGACUGAGACACUGCCCAGACUCCUACGGGGGCUGCAGUAACGAAUCUUCCGCAAUGCACGCAAGUGUGACGGAGCGACGCCGCGUGUGGGACGAAGUCCUCGGAUGUAACACUGUCAGGGUUACAAGUUCUGAGGAACCCGACGAGGAAGGACACGGCGUAACUACUGCGCCAGCAGCCGC